AAUUCUCCUGGCCUUCCCUCCGGUUCUCCGCCGGUGCUCUUGACUGAGUGUCGGCGGCGGCCGGAACGUUUACUUUGAAAAAAUUAGAGUGUUCAAAGCAGGCUCUCGAGCCUGGAUAAUGGUGCAUGGAAUAAUGGAAUAGGACCUCGGUUCUAUUUUGUUGGUUUUCGGAGCGCGAGGUAAUGAUUAAGAGGGACAGACGGGGGCAUUCGUACUGUGCCGUUAGAGGUGAAAUUCUUGGAUCGGCGCAAGACGAACGACUGCGAAAGCAUUUGCCAAGAAUGUUUUCUUUAAUCAAGAGCGAAAGUCAGAGGUUCGAAGACGAUCAGAUACCGUCCUAGUUCUGACUAUAAACGAUGCCAACUAGCGAUCGGGGGGCGUUACAUUGACGACCCCUCCGGCAGCUUACGGGAAACCAAAGUCUUUGGGUUCCGGGGGAAGUAUGGUUGCAAGGCUGAAACUUAAAGGAAUUGACGGAAGGGCACCACCAGGAGUGGAGCCUGCGGCUUAAUUUGACUCAACACGGGAAAUCUCACCCGGCCCGGACACAGUGAGGAUUGACAGAUUGAGAGCUCUUUCUUGAUUCUGUGGGUGGUGGUGCAUGGCCGUUCUUAGUUGGUGGAGCGAUUUGUCUGGUUAAUUCCGAUAACGAACGAGACUCUGGCUUGCUAAAUAGUUACGCGACCAUCCCGGUCGGCGUUUAACUUCUUA
rnacentral:ncRNA from 1 species